UACGAAGGGUGCAAGCGUUACUCGGAAUUAAUGGGAGUAAAGAGUGCGUAGGCGGUUUUGUAAGAAAGAUGUGAAAGCCCCGGGCUCAACCUGGGAAUGGCAUUUGGGACUGCAAGGCUUGAGUGCGGCAGAGGAGACUGGAAUUCCUGGUGUAGCAGUGAAAUGCGUAGAUAUCAGGAGGAAUACCGAUGGCGAAGGCAGGUCUCUGGGCUGACACUGACGCUCAUGCACGAAAGCGUGGGGAGCAAACAGG
rnacentral:rRNA from 1 species